ACAGAGUUGGCAGAAUAAUGUGAAUAAUUUAGGUUUAUUUUAUAAGAUGUUUAUAUCUUACUUUGUA
rnacentral:tRNA from 1 species